rnacentral:rRNA from 1 species
UGGCUCAGAUUGAACGCUGGCGGCAGGCCUAACACAUGCAAGUCGAGCGGUAACAGAGAGUAGCUUGCUACUUUGCUGACGAGCGGCGGACGGGUGAGUAAUGCUUGGGAACAUGCCUUGAGGUGGGGGACAACAGUUGGAAACGACUGCUAAUACCGCAUAAUGUCUACGGACCAAAGGGGGCUUCGGCUCUCGCCUUUAGAUUGGCCCAAGUGGGAUUAGCUAGUUGGUGAGGUAAUGGCUCACCAAGGCGACGAUCCCUAGCUGGUUUGAGAGGAUGAUCAGCCACACUGGGACUGAGACACGGCCCAGACUCCUACGGGAGGCAGCAGUGGGGAAUAUUGCACAAUGGGCGCAAGCCUGAUGCAGCCAUGCCGCGUGUGUGAAGAAGGCCUUCGGGUUGUAAAGCACUUUCAGUCAGGAGGAAAGGUUAGUAGUUAAUACCUGCUAGCUGUGACGCUACUGACAGAAGAAGCACCGGCUAACUCCGUGCCAGCAGCCGCGGUAAUACGGAGGGUGCGAGCGUUAAUCGGAAUUACUGGGCGUAAAGCGUACGCAGGCGGUUUGUUAAGCGAGAUGUGAAAGCCCCGGGCUCAACCUGGGAACUGCAUUUCGAACUGGCAAACUAGAGUGUGAUAGAGGGUGGUAGAAUUUC